rnacentral:rRNA from 1 species
UACGUAGGGUGCAAGUGUUAAUCGGAAUUACUGGGCGUAAAGCGUGCGCAGGCGGUUUUUGUAAGUUUGUCGUGAAAUCCCCCGGGCUCAACCUGGGGAAUGGCGAUGAAGACUGCAAGGCUAGAAUCUGGCAGAGGGGGGUAGAAUUCCACGUGUAGCAGUGAAAUGCGUAGAGAUGUGGAGGAACACCGAUGGCGAAGGCAGCCCCCUGGGUCAAGAUUG